UGGGUCUCAUGCUUAUCUGAGAAAAGGGUCUGUCUCUCCCUUAUGAUUGCACUAAGUUGCAAGGACUUGUCUAUUUAUGUUUUCACAGCCUAGUUCGGACUGGUUUGAUGGACUCCAACUGAUUAUCGUAUACUGCAGUCAUCUACGUUGGCGAUUUUCUUGUUUCCUGUGAUGAAUUUGUCCCGGUUCAUCGGAUUGUUACCUGGUUGGACUCCGAUUGGAUUUAAAGGCUGUUGUUAUUGUGUGGUUGGACUAAUCCCUCGGUUUCUGUUUGAUGUUUGUUUAUUGUGGUCACAUCUCCAAAGAAAGAGGAAAUGUGUAGGGAGGUGCUGACUAUUAUACUGGGACUUGUUAUGGGAGUGGCUUAUCACUAUGUACGCCAUUUUUUCUUACUGUUUUGUAUUUGCUGCUAUUAGUGGACAGUAAAG